GGCCUGGACUUGGAGAGAAGGAAGGCGGGGCUGUGCAUCUGCCCGUACCUGGCAGAUUGUGGGGUGACCCCUCUGCCCAGCAGCCCCCGCAUCUCUCUGGUUACCUCUGUUUUAUCCAGGAUAAAACACACUUCAACUUCUCCACUAAACAUUUCUCUCACCUCCUUGGAGACACCCUAGUUUAUCACCCGAAUGCCAAACCUCUGCCUUUCAAGACAGCCCAGGACAUCGGACCAGAGCUGGUUGUUUUCUUCUCCAAGAUGCCCCCAGCGUGGCCCUAGAUGGGCCGGGCUUUCCUGUUGUCCUGGCUUCUCUCCAGGACAUCCCCCUCGAUGCCCCUGCUCUUCCCCGACGCCCAGCAUCGUGCUCAAGCACCCCAGCUCCAUUCCUUACACCUCCUGUCAUGUUACAUCUGAGCCUCUGGUUCCAAGAGACCCCCCAGCUCCUCCCACAAACACAGCAUCUUCCCAGGAGAGAGGUUCCCAGCCUCUCCACAUCCCCGCAGGGCCACGUCUGUCAAGGGCUGAGGAUCUCUGGCUGCUUUCUCUGCAGACAGCAGGCCCUACCCCCUGCCCUGGGGGACAGGUCUAGUAAGGGUGUGUGUGGGGAGAAAAAGCCACUCUGGUUUGUCCUGAACUAGGACUGGAGCCUUCCAAAGGCAAACCCAAAAGGGGCUUCGAUGACACGUCUCUUAUUUCCGAGAUGUGGAGGCAGAGCCACCCAUCCAUCCUCCCGUCUACAUGUCGAUCAGUAACCCAUCCAUCCAUCCAUCCAUCAUAUAUCAUCCAUUCACCCAUCCACCCAUCCAUCCAUCAUCCAUUCACCCACCCAUCCAUCAUCCAUCAUCCAUCUAUAAAUCCAUCAGUAACCCAUUCACCCAUCCACUCAUCAUCCAUUCACCCAUCCAUCCAUCAUCCAUCAUCCAUCCAUCAGUAACCCAUCCAUCCAUCCAUCCAUCCAUCAUAUAUCAUCCAUUCACCCAUCCACCCACCCAUCCAUCAUCCAUUCACCCACCCAUCCAUCAUCCAUUCACCCAUCCGUCCAUCAUCCAUCUAUAAAUCUAUCAGUAACCCUCCAUCCACCCAUCAUCCAUUCACCCGUCCACACAUCAUAUAUCAUCCAUCUAUAAACCUAUCAGUAACCAUCCAUCCAUCCAUCAUAUAUCAUCCAUCCACCCGUCAGUAACCCAUUCAUCCAUCCAUCCAUCCAUCCAUCCAUCCAUCCAUCCAUCCAUCCAUUCACCCACCCAUCCAUCAUCCAUCAUCCGUCUAUAAACCUAUCAGUAACCAUCCAUCCAUCCAUCAUACAUCAUCCAUCUAUAAAUCCAUCAGUAACCCACUCAUCCAUCCCCCAUCUACACAUCCAUCAGUAAUCCACCCAUCCAUCCAUCUACACAUCCAACCAUACAUCCAUCCAUCCAUCUACACAUCCAACCAUACAUCCAUCCAUCCAUCUACACAUCCAACCAUACAUCCAUCCAUCCAUCUACACAUCCAACCAUACAUCCAUCCCAUUUACACAUCAGGUAAUCCACCUACCCAUCCCCCAUCUACACAUCCAUCAGUAACCCACUCAUCCAUCCAACCAUCCAUCUGCAUAUCCAGCCAUCCAUCCAUCUCCACAUGUACACAUCCAUCAGUCAUCCAUCCAUCCAGUCACCCAUUCAUCGCCCCAUCUACACCCAUCAGUAACUCAGCCAUCCAUCUAUCCAUUCGCCCACCUGGUCACCCAUCCAUCGGCCUAAGCCUCCAUCAUUAUUCCAUCUAUCCAUUUUCCAUCUGUCCAUCCAUUCAUCAUCCAUGCAUCCACCUGUCUCUCUAUCGCUCAUCCAUCGCCUGUUCAUUUUCAUUCCCUUCACUGCUUCAUCCAUCCACCCACCCACCGUCUUUCAGCAUGCUUGCAUUGAGUAUCUUUUACCUGCUUGAGUAUCUUUUAUCUGCCAGGAGCUCUGGUGGGCAAACAAGAUGCAGUAAUGACCAAAACAGAUCUGCCCUCGUGGAGUUAAUGGCCAAGUGACAUUAAUCCGCAAAUCACCACUCAACAUACAAUCACAGCUGUGGAGUGGGCACGGUGGCUCACGCCUGUAACCCCAGCACUUUGGGAGGCUGAGGUGGGCGGAUCACCUGAGGUCAGGAGUUCAAGACCAGCCUGGCCAACAUGUCAAAACCCCAUGUCUGCUGGAAAUACAAAAAUUAGCUGGGCGUGGUGGUGCACGCCUAUAGUCCCAGCUACUUGGGAGGCUGAGGCAGGAAAAUCACUUGAACCCGGGAGGCGGAGGUUACAGUGAGCUGAGAUCGCACCACUGCACUCCAGCUUGGAGGACAGAGCGAGACUCCAUCUCAAAACAAACAACUGUGGAAAAGAGUGCAUCAUGGAGCUCAGAAAUCCCAGGAAAUCCAGGAGGGUAUCUUUGUGGGAACAACACAGGGACUGUGAUUGGAGGAUGAGCCCCAGGUGAAGAAAGAGCUCUGGGCAGAGGAGAUGGCGUGUGCAAAGGCCCUGUGGUGUGUGCAAAGGCCCUGUGGUGUGUUCAGCCAGCACAUUCAGGGAGCAGAAGGGUGGCCAAUAUGGCCGAGGUGAGGUCAGAAGCGGGGUGAGGACACAGAGCUUGGGGGAGGCCUGGUGCCAGGAAGAGCUGCCAGGGGUCUUUUGAGCACAGGGGCGAUAACAUUCCCCGUGGGAAGUAAACUGUUGGGAAUUGCGGGGAGGGCAAGGAGGAGGCGCUGGACCAGAGGAGUGCUGGGGAGUAGGGAGUGUCAGAUUCCCAAGAUGCAUAGGACAGAGGGCGUCUAAAUGCACUUCAUUCAUUCAUUCAUAGCCCUGGGCCCUGGGCCCAAGGUGCCCAUCCACACUCCACCUCCGUCUGUCCUCUUCCAAGUCCCUGUGUAAAUAGAAACUGGCACCUGCUGGGACAUGAGCCAAGAGCAGCAUGAACUCGGGGGGCUGAAACUCUCCCUGCUUUACAGAUGAGGAAACGGAGGCUCGGAGAGGCGAGGUGACCCCCGAGACCAUCCCACUGGGAGGUGGUGAAGCUGGUUUUGGAGGGCCCCCAUCUCCCAAUCCCGUUCUCUGGGUUGGAAGAGUCUGGGUGCCCAGACGCCUGGCUCCAGCUGGGUCCCUACACCUGUCUCCUCCCCUUUCCUACCUUUGUACUUCCAGUAAUUGGAAUAAUUAAGUCAAUAAUCCACUCCUCGGGAGCCUGAGCCUGGAGUGGGAGGCAGGAGAACCCUGGAUCACAUUCAACCUCUAAAUGCUGCGCAGCCUGGAUGAGUCGUUUUCUUCCCUGAAUCGCACUCGAUCCCCUGCACGAGGAGACAGGAGGACUUGCCGUGGAGGGGUCAGGAUGCCCCAGGAAUCAGCUAGUGCCAUGGAGGGGCCAGGAUGCCCCGGAACUCAGCUGGUGCCAUAGAGGGCCAGGAUGCCCCGGGAAUCAGCUGGUGCCGUGGAGGGGCCAGGAUGCCCCAGAACUCAGCUGGUGCCAUAGAGGGCCAGGAUGCCCCGGGUAUCAGCUGGUGCCAUGGAGGGGCUAGGAUCCCCGGGAAUCAGCUGGUGCCGUGGAGGGGCCAGGAUCCCCGGGAAUCAGCUGGUGGCACAGAGGGCAAGGAUGCCCCGGGUAUCAGCUGGUGCCGUGGAGGGCCAGGAUGCCCCGGGAAUCAGCUGGUGCCGUGGAGGGGCCAGGACGCCCCAGGAAUCAGCUGGUGGCAUAGAGGGCCAGGAUGCCCCGGGAAUCAGCUGGUGCCAUAGAGGACCAGGAUGCCCCGGGAAUCAGCUGGUGCCGUGGAGGGGCCAGGAUCCCCGGGAAUCAGCUGGUGCCGUGGAGGGGCCAGGAUCCCCGGGAAUCAGCUGGUGCCGUGGAGGGGCCAGGAUCCCCGGGAAUCAGCUGGUGCCGUGGAGGGGCCAGGAUGCCCCGGAACUCAGCUGGUGCCGUGGAGGGGCCAGGAUGCCCCGGAACUCAGCUGGUGCCAUAGAGGGCCAGGAUGCCCCAGGUAUCAGCUGGUGCCAUAGAGAGCCAGGAUGCCCCGGAUAUCAGCUGGUGCCGUGGAGGGGCCAGGAUGCCCCGGGAAUCAGCUGGUGCCGUGGAGGGGCAGGAUGCCCUGGAAUCAGCUGGUGCCAUAGAUGGCCAGGAUGAUCUGGGUAUCAGCUGGUGCCGUGGAGGGGCAGGAUGCCCCGGGAAUCAGCUAGUAUCAACUGAGCACCCCGCCUGCGGCAGGCCUGGAGGUCAGCCGGUUCCGUGUGCUCCCUGAGGAAUCGGGCUACUCCCCAGUGCCUCAGUGUCCCUCUCUGGAAACUGGCGAUGGUGGCCCUCCAGGGCCCUCCCACUGGGCUAACCCGUGAUGCACGAAUCAGUCAGGUCCCUCCUGGGAGCUCGCAGACCGUCCUGCUCCUGGGAUUGUUUUAUUGUUAUGCCGUCCCCUCCCUUUCCUGAGGCUCCCAGGGUAAGUUUUCAAGCUGCACAGCUACGCAGUGGCCUCCUCAGCAUUGGAGCUCGGAUUGCAGACCCCCCCCCCGCCCUUUUUUUAAAACCACCUCCCUGUAGGUCCUCCAAGCCUGUUAUCCUGGAGGCCACUGUGGGGCAGCCUUGGAUUCAGGCCUGGCUCGGGGAAGCCCCGGGUCCCUGGUGGGGCCCCCACCUCGGGGGAUGGAGGGCCAAAGCCUCCCAGCAUGAGGUGCCACGACUCAGGGCGGAGAGGGGCUGGCCGAUACCACCUGGGCCCCUCCUCCAGCUUGAGCCUGAAUCUACAGCAUCCUGGUCUCCCAUCCUGGAGGACUGCAGCAAGGCUGCUGCAGAGGGAAGCAGAAGGUUCUGUUGACCAGGAGAGGCUCCUGUUUACUUACUGAUGGUGCAGAGCUAAGCAGCCGGAAGGCCCCGGCCUCCCUGCCCCUGCCCCACCCAGGGUGGGCUCUGCGUCCGUCCACAGGGCAGAUGUUAGGACCCAUCCCAGGUACUUUUCAGGCCUAUGUUUCCUCAGCCCCCAAAUGUGAUAGGGUGUGGGGAUGGGGUGGGGCUUCUGGCCAAGCCAGGCUGUGGUGGGGUCAGGGCUCUGGGGUGCACUUUGAGGUCUGGGGCAGCUCCCCGCUGGCUGAGACCCCUUCCUGACCUGCAGACGCAUCUGAGGGAGAGGGCGACUGAUGCCUGCCUCGCACACAUGGUAGGGAUGCUGCAGGCACUUUGCACAUAGUGAUCUGUUGAGCCCUCCCUCGAGUGCCGUGGUGCCCUGGGCUGCUGGAAAGACAGAGGUCUGGAUGCUUGUCCAGCGUCACACAGGGGGAAGGGUUGGCACCAGGAUUCAAGCCCUGACUGACCAGCUCUGGAUUCGUGUCCUAGCAUGGAAACAGGCAUAGUGUGAACUCAGUGCCUCAUCCCCCAACCCAGCUGGCAGGAGAGGCUCUGCCCCCACCUGGGCUGGGCAGGGGUGCCGGAGAGCGAACCCACAAUACCUGGGGCUGGCCUGAUGUCAGGAGACCCGUCACUGCCCCUUCCUCAGACCCAAGCUGUCCGCUUCCCUCCCCAGGCCCUGCUGUCCUUGUCUGCAAUGGAGGAGGGUGGCUCUGUGGCCCCUGAGGCCCCCUCCCCUCGGGCCUGCUGAAAGAGCACUGCUUCGGUGCCAUCGUGGCGAUGCUAUUCACCCAUUUGUUUGGCAAAUGUUUACUGGAGACAUGGCUGGCCUGUGCCUUGGGGACACUACAGGGACAGGACCUCCAGGAUCCUCCUCCCGGCUCGGGCCCAGCAGAGACGGUGGACAGACCCCCAGGAUCCGGGCCCAGCAGGGGCGGUGGACAGACCCCCAGGGCCCUCCUCCCGGCUCGGGCCCAGCAGGGGUGGUGGACAGCAGCCCAAGGGUGUUCUGCAUGGCGGCCGGAGCUGGGGUUCGGGGGCCCUGCUAGGCUGUGGUGGGGCCUGCCCAGGCUUCCUGGAGGCGGCGGCGGUGAAGGGGAGAAUUCCUCGGUGUCUGUCUCCUUGUCAGACUUUGGGGCUGCAUCGCGGUUGCCCCAGCACAAAGUGAGGGCUCAUCAACGUUUGCUGGGUGAGCAAAGCUUAAAUGGGGUCACAGCUCCUCCGGGUUUCACUUUCCCCUCUGGACGGCAGGACUCUAACCCCUCACUGCGAGGGUGUGUGGAGAGUGGGGAGGCCUCAGCCCAGCUCUCUCGCUCUCCUGGACCCCUCUUCUACCACUGUGGCAGCAGCCGCUCCUCCCAGCUUGGGCCACAUCCAGACUUGGGGACAUUCCCAGAAUGCAGGAGGCUCCUGGACAAUCAAUAAUUCAAUAAAGCGCCAGGCGUCCGCCGGCUCCGGGUUGGUCCUGGGGAUAUGUUAUCUUGCUGGCUCCAUGCACGAGGAGGCUGGGAACUGCUCAGCUCGGUUCCAGAAGAGGAAACUGAGGCGGGGAGGGCAGGGAGGGAGGGAGAGAAGGAAGCAGUGAAGGCCGGGGCUGGCAGAUCACAGAAGCAGCUGGCAGGAGGGGGGUCGGGGCCUCAGGAGGGGGGGACCCUGUGGUCUCAGGAACUGCCAGGAAGCCUGGGUUUGGACCUGGUCUUGCCCCCUCUGGGUUUCUCCAUCCGUGAAUCACACGCAUGUGCCUUCUCCCUUCGCCCCGACCCUCAUGCUUUCCUGCUGUAUUCCUGUUCCGGGCGUCACCACCCCUGCAGUUCUGAGCUGCACCUGUACGCUCUGUGGGCAUCCUGCCCCUGCAUCACCAGGGCUGGGGCCACCUCCCUCCGUCCCAGCUGUGUCCCCGGUGGCCAGGUCACUGUCCAGCAUCAGGUUGGUGCUCAGGAAACGUUUGUCCAUGAAAUGAAGGAGCCCCCCCUUCCAGGCUUCUUGGAGGGCUGCUGAGAGGUUGCCCAUUUAGUAAGACCUGCUGUCCUAGCUGUUCGGUCCUUGUUUCUGGAAGGAAACCCCUCACCUUCCUCAUCUACAAAUUGAGAAUUGCAGUAGGAUCUGCGUACUGAGUUGUGUGAGAGUCAGAGACCCGCCAGGACGCUGGGAGGCUGGCAGGGAGGAGACGCUCCGUCAUAAACCCAGCUGCGUUUAUUACUGUUGCCGUCAUUUAAUUCGUCGUCGUUAGUCGGGAAAGCUCCUCGCCGGCAGCGAGUAGGGGGUCUGGGACCCUCUUCCGAUAUACGGAGGCAGGGGCUUGGGUUGGGAGAACGACUUCCCGGAAUCCGCGGGCGUGAGCGCCAGGGGUGGCCGUCAGCCAACCGUGAGCACCUGCUUGUCUCCCACCGGCCCCCAGUCAGCCCCCGGGCCCUGGCGAGGCUCCUCCCUGCCACCAGCCUCCGGGGGCUGCGGGGAGACGGCCCCACCGCCGUCCCGCGGGGGCGGGGGCGGGUGGGGGGGGGGCGCGGGCGGCCGUACUCGGAGGAAUACGGCGGCGGCGGCGGCGGGGCUGGGCGGUUUCCCGCCGCGGGUGAAUGAGUCCGACUGCGCUGCCGCCGCCACCGCCGCCCGCAUCGAAGCUCCGGCCGCGUCCCCCGCGCCAGCCCCGGGAGCCUGCGCGCCGAGACCCCUGCGUGUCUGCGAACAGACCUCCGGCCUCGGGCCAUCACCCCGGGCAGACGCUGCAGCCCCUGUCCGGGCCUCUUGCCUGCCGCCCCCAUGAGAAAAACCAACAUGUGGUUCUUGGAGCGGCUUCGGGGGUCUGGGGAAAACGGUGCUGCCCGGGGCGUGGGGAGUGAGGCGGGGGACAAGGCCUCCAAGGGGCCCCUGUACAGCAAUGUGUUGACGCCCGACAAGAUCCCCGACUUUUUCAUCCCCCCCAAGCUGCCCUCGGGCCCCGCGGAGGGCGAGGGACAGGCCGCGCUGGGCCCCUCCACGUCGGAACAGAACCUGGCCUUUGCGGCCCCUCGCCAGACCCCACGGAGCCCCCGGCUGCCUGCCAAGCUGGCAGCCGAGAGCAAGAGCCUGCUGAAGGCAGCCACCCGGCACGUGAUCCAGAUCGAGAGUGCCGAGGACUGGCCAUCCGAGGAGGCCACUGACGCCGACCCCCAGGCCCAGGGUGCCAUGUCCCUGCCCUCGGUUCCCAAGGCCCAGACGUCCUACGGCUUCGCCACGCUGGCCGAGAGCCCCCACACGAGGCGCAAGGAGUCUCUGUUCCACAGUGAGCACGGGGCUCUGGCCCAGGUGGGCUCCCCAGGGGCCGGGCGCCGCCGGGCAGCCGCCAAGGCCAACGGGGGUGAUGGGGGCCCCAGGGAGGCUGGCGGGGCCCUCAUGAGCCCCGGCCGCUACUUCAGUGGCGGGGAGAGCGACACAGGGUCCUCGGCCGAGUCCUCCCCCUUCGGGUCCCCUCUGCUGUCCCGCUCCGUGUCUCUGCUCAAAGGUUUCGCCCAGGACAGCCAGGCCAAGGUGAGCCAGCUCCGGCACUCCGUGGGCCGCCACGGCUCCCUGUCUGCCGACGACAGCACCCCGGACACCAGCCCCGGGAGCCGGCGCCGCCUGACCCGCCGGGCACCCCCGGAACCUGGCCCCGAGUCGGGCCAGGCGCGUGGGGAGCACACGGUCCACGUGGGCCCUCGGGGCAGCGUGCGGCUGCUGGCCGAGUACGAGGCCGGCCAGGCCCGCCUGCGGGUGCACCUGCUGGCCGCCGAGGGCCUCUACGACCGCCUGUGCGACGCCCGCAGCAUCAACUGCUGCGUGGGCCUGUGCCUGGUGCCGGGCAAGCUGCAGAAGCAGCGCAGCACCAUCGUCAAGAACAGCCGCCGCCCCGUCUUCAACGAGGAUUUCUUCUUCGACGGCCUGGGGCCCGCCAGCGUCCGGAAGCUGGCCCUCAGGAUCAAGGUGGUGAACAAGGGCAGCAGCCUCAAGCGGGACACGCUGCUCGGGGAGAAGGAGCUGCCCCUGACCUCCCUGCUCCCCUUCCUGUAGAGCGGGGACCUGCUUGCUGUCCGCUCGGGUGCGGAGGGCAGACCCCGGUCUCUCCUCCACACCGGGUGCUGGCGGGCGGGUCCGCCGGCUUGGGCUGGGGCGGGGCGGGGAGGGGCUCACACUCAGGCUGGGCUGGGCGCUGAUGCUGUAGCUGACGCAUGGUUUCCUGGGUCACCCGAUGCUGACUGGAGUAUUAUUUUUCAUGAAUUAAUUUCUUCUUUGGACGAGGAGGAGGAGAGGGGCCCUCGGGGGAAGAGAAGGGGCCACUCCACGGGGCAGAAGGUCCCCCUUUGCCCCUCCACACUGCCUAGCGCCUUUCACGCAGAGUUCUAGAAGGAGGUUCUCAGGGGUCCAGGAAUCCGUGCAAGUGGCCAGGGCGGGGCCGUGGACAGGGAGGUGACAAGUCUUGGAGCCCACAGUCUCCUUCGCUGCACGCCUGUCUUCCUCCCCCACAGCCUGCCGCCAUCCAAUUCCCACCCCACGGAGAGCAGGGCCUCGCGGCGACACCAGGCCCAGGCUCUGCCCGAGACGCCCCCCCACAGGGGUCAGGCUUGGCUCUGGGAGACCCCAGCUUCCCAGGCUCCGGUGGGGAGCGGGGCCAGGCGAGGGUGCCCUGACGAGGGUGGGCGUGGAGGGAGCAGCCGCUGCCACAGUCGGAGCAGAGGAGGUCUUGGCAGAGGUCCACGGGGAGGAGACGGCUCUCCUGGCCUGUUUUCCUCCGACACCGUCGCCACUGGCUUUUUGGGUACAGGCGCGUCUGGCCAUUUCUGCUGUGGCGCCGGAGGGUCUUGCUCAGAGAUGCCCAGAGAGCAGCCCUAUGGCCCAUCCGUCCUCGCUGGGGGCUGCCACCCCGUCGCCCUUUUGUCCAGCGUCUGCAGCUGGGAGCGACACGCAGUGAUUGACGGCCGUGGCUUUGACGCCACACGUGUAAAUAGGCUGUGGCUACGGUGGGUGGGUCGGAGCCCAGGAGGCAGCUGGGGGGACCUGGCUAUGGCCUUUCCUGCUGCUAGGUGGCUGCAAGGCUUCCAUUGUGUGGUUAUGUGGGUCCUUGAAUGAUUUUGGGGAGGUUUCCAGCUCAGAAUGAUGCAGAAAUGAUAAGACUCAAAGCAGGGGCCAGGCCAGGCCGGUGCCUUCGCCUCUCCCGGCUGCUGGUGGGCACGGGGGAACCAGGGCACAUCUGUGGUAUCCAGGGACUUCCCUUGUCAGCCCGUUUGCCACACUUUGUUCCUCUUGACCAGGGGAGGGUGGAGGAGCUGCUUCCCAGGACUGGAGGAGCAGCUGGGCCCCUGCUGCACGUCCGGUGGGACACACCUGUGAGCCCUCCAGAGGGAGAGUGCAGGCCCCUUCUGAGCCUGGUGUUGCAGGCGCUCCGCUCUCUCCGGAAGCCAGGGCGCCCAGGGCGGAGGCUCCUCAGGCCGGGGAGGCGGGGAGGGUGCCCUGCAUGGAGAGAGAUGCCGGCGCUCCCCGCCUUCUCUGAUGCUCACCCCUCCCAGGCCCCGUUCUCCCUGGGGUCCCCCGUUUAAUAGCCCCCUGCACUGUUUGAUAUCUUAGUGUCUGAGGUUGACUGUGGGUAAAUCUUUAAGACACUCCCCAGCUGUGUUUGUUUAUAAAUGCUGUUUAUAGUGCAAUAAAGGUGUUUCGGGAAUACGGGGGUGGAGGUUGGCUUCCCUGGCUGUUUAAUAACGAGAGAGUUCUGCGGUGAACUCCAGGGAGGAAGGAGGAGAGGAUUCCAGAUUGGCAAGGUCCUUUCCACUGCCCUCCGCAUUCUCCUGCCCGGGGUGGAGGCAGGCACGGGGCAGGAGCCCAGCCCCUGAUAAACCACCUCCCUUGGAGCGGCAGGUCUGGGUGCUGCUUCACGGUUCCAGCUCUGUGACUACGUGGAUGUCAGGAAACAGGACUCUGACCCUACAUGGUGCCUACAGGCAUCCCUGGCGCCACAGAGCACUCGGCCCCAGUGGGUGGUGUGCGGUGAAGGAGGCAGGCACACCUGCCAGCAGUCUCUCCUUUCAGACUG